GAAGAAGACCUCAAUGCACAAGUAUCACAAAUAAAAAUUGGUCAAGAAUGUAUUGUACACAUCUUAGAAGCAUUGGCAACUAUUUUAAAUAACAUAUUAACUACUAUUAAGGAUAACUAUCAAUGCAUUAAAAUGUUAAUACAAGGCCAAGAACACGUAAUUAAAAAACAAUGCAUACAUAUAGCUAGCUAUUCAUUCUUUUUCGGCAUUUGCACUCCGACAUAUGGAGAGUGCAAUUGUUGAAUUUAGGUUGCAAAUAAUAAAUCUCCAAACAGUGAUAGAGGUGCUAGAGCAGGAACAUCUAAGUGCAUAUUUUGUUCCUCUACGAAUGAUUCUAGCUGCGUUAAUGGAUAUAAAUAACCAUUUGUCAGUUGAUAUGUCAUUAAUAGAGCCAGUCCGACAAAACAAUCUAAGUAUUAUCAAUUCAUUUCUGUAACCACUGUAACACUCCCAGAUACACUGAGGUUAUUUGUAGAUAUACCUCUAAUGAAUCCUGAUCAGUUUUUUGAUCUGUUCAAGGUUGUAAAUUUUCCAGUACAUCAUGCU
rnacentral:lncRNA from 1 species